AACUCUCAAACCGAUGUCUUUAUUGACGUUCGGGUUUGGAUUUGGACGUUGCUGGACUUAUCAGUUCGGCUCGUCUCGAAUGCAUUAGCUGUAGAUUUCGAUUUCAGUUAAACCGUGUGAUAAUACAUCUACGCGGGCAGCCGUCAAGGCGCUGGAUCGUUAUUCGAAGGCUUCUAAUCGUCCUUUUAGGACCGCCUUUACUGGUGUUUCAUUUCAC
rnacentral:misc_RNA from 1 species